UGUCUGAGGGAGAGUCCAGUUCACCCAAUGGAGUUUCUGCAUGGGACCUCACUGAUGCAGCCUCUGGAGCAUGCUGUGCACCUUGAAGAACCCAGAUUCAAUGUCCCAGAUCUCCAUGUCACCAGGCCUGGGUCCCCAGGAUGUACCCAGAAGACCAGGUCAAUGUAGCCUUUGUUGUGUACCACCAGGGUCAUUCCCCCUAAUGUCCCUGCAGAGUAAGAAGCCCUGAAGGCACAAUGGUUAAAGCUGCUAACGGAAAGGGUUUUGUCGAAAAUUAUAUUUGAGAUUUGGCUCUUUUGUACCACACGAAGACUCCUUUCCAAGAAUACUAGAGAAGUUGAAACAAGGACUUUCUCACAGAUCAGACAACCUUCCCUCAGACCCAAUGCCCUGAAUUUGGACUUCCAGCCUUCUAACCUGUGAGAAAAUAAAUUUCUGCUCUUUAAAGCACCCACUUGUGGCAUUUCUGCUACACCAACCUUCAGAAACCAAGAUGGCUACAUACACACCAUCACGGAUUAGCAGCCCUGCGGGACAGGGUAGAACUGCUACAUUGGGUUCCCCAGAGACUGUAAAUCUUUAUGAUCACAGACUGCCUAUGCUGCAGGGUAGCUGGUGAGUUUGAAUCACCAACCUUCUUGCGUGCAGCCCAGUUACAAACCUGUAACCGGUAAACUAGUCAUUUUCUCUGACCUAAUCCCUAUGUAAGAUCCAGACUCUCAUCCCUGAGGGAUGAAAAAUUGGUAAAGACUAACUAUUCUGAUUCAUUCUGGCAAAGGUUUGGCUUCAGUUAUUUAAAUUUAGGCAUAGUUCAGGCUUUGUGGUAGUUACACAAUCUGUUGUCAAUUUGAGAAUUAAGAGUGAAGGGAUGGUG